AGAAGGGGGGCAAAGGAGAGAAUGGAAGAUCUCUUGGCCCACCUAAACCUGCAAGAAGAAGAGGACAACGACUUCGUCUGGGAAGAGGACCUGUCGGAUCUGACAACGUUAGCCAAGUGGCUGGCCAUAGCUAGAGUUCAUACUCCCAAAACUUUUAGUCCAAGUGCAUUAUAUGGCGACAUGCGUUCGACGUGGAACCAGGCUAGACCCAUGGUAUGGAGGAGGAUUAAUGAUAAUCUCUUCAUAGCGCGGUUCGGAUGUUUAGCGGAUUGGAACGAGGCAAUGUUUGAAGGUCCCUGGCUCUUCAGAGGAGAGGCAGUAAUCAUGAAGGAGUAUGAUGGUUUUAAUAAACCUGAAUCCAUCCAGCUUGAUAAACUUACUGUUUGGGCACUGGUUCACCAUCUCCCCAAUAAUUUUUAA
rnacentral:rRNA from 1 species